GUCCACGCUGUAAACGGUGAGUGCUCGUCGUCGUGGGUAUUGACCCCUGCGGUGACCAAGUUAACACAUGAAGCACUCCGCCUGGGAAGUACGGUCGCAAGACUAAAACUCAAAGAAAUUGACGGGGGCCCCGCACAAGCGGUGGAGCAUGUUGUUUAAUUCGAAGCAACGCGCAGAACCUUACCUGGAUUUGACAUCUCUGGAAUCCUCCUGAAAGGGAGGAGUGCCUUCGGGAGCCAGAAGACAGGUGCUGCAUGGCUGUCGU
rnacentral:rRNA from 1 species